rnacentral:ncRNA from 1 species
AGAAAAACGCUGACGAAGAGUAGUACAUAUGUUCAUUUCACGUUUAGAGAGUCUGUGGUUGCUGCAAACAGAUCGUGGAGGCAUAUGGAAUGGACUUCCGAGUUAGCUUUGUGAACGCUAUUAGAAGCUAUUAGCAGAGCUCGUCCCUUCACGUUACGAAGCUGAGUGGCCUUUUAGGCAAGCUGGGUGGUACCGCGGAUUCAAAACAUCAUUCGUCCCUUCA